AAAAAAAUCUAAAAACGUAUCCGUUCAACCUCCCAUAGAAACUAAUUGACGUAUGUAUGCAUACGUUUGACUCCGUUAGUUGGUAAUACGUUCGGAAUACGUUUUUUCAGACGGAAAACAAAAUCCUGCUUGCAGGAUUUUUUUCUACGUUCAGAAAAGCGGAUUCUUGACGGAGCGUCCAUUCACGUUCAUUGUAGUAAAUGAGAAACGGAUUGUUCAAUUUUUAUUUCGCGGACAUAGCGUUCCUAAAGUACGUUUUUUUUGUUGCUGAACAUGCGCAGAACAAACAGGAACUUACAAACGAAGACAGGAAACAAGGGAGUGUCAUGUGACAGUCACGUGAGCGCUACUCCUCACCAUUUCUGAAGGCUGAUGUGCAAGUUGGAGAAAGUCUCAAGAAAAGGAUGUCUUCGCCUUGUCCUUCGGUUUGCAGUCGAAGUACCCCCUCCUUUCACAUGCAGGGACACUCCGACACUGAAUCCUCUGCUGGCGAGGAAUUGCGUUUUUCUCCUGAACCAAUGGAGUCAACACAGGAGGGUACACAUUCAAUAGAAAAUCCGCGAAGUAGACGUCAUAA